rnacentral:rRNA from 1 species
UGCAGUCUGCAACUCGACUGCACGAAGCUGGAAUCGCUAGUAAUCGCGGAUCAGCACGCCGCGGUGAAUACGUUCCCGGGCCUUGUACACACCGCCCGUCACACCAUGGAAGUCUGCAAUGCCCGAAGCCGGUGGCCUAACCACUUAUGUGGAAGGAGCCGUCUAAGGCAGGGCAGAUGACUGGGGUGAAGUCGUAACAAGGUAAC